rnacentral:rRNA from 1 species
UACGGAGGGUGCAAGCGUUAUCCGGAUUCACUGGGUUUAAAGGGUGCGUAGGCGGAUUAGAAAGUCCGUUGUGAAAUCUCUGAGCUUAACUCGGAAAUUGCGGUGGAUACUAUUAGUCUUGAAUACUGUGGAGGUUAGCGGAAUAUGUCAUGUAGCGGUGAAAUGCAUAGAUAUGACAUAGAACACCAAUUGCGAAGGCAGCUGGCUACACAAUGAUUGACGCUGAGGCACGAAAGCGUGGGGAUCAAACAGG